AUGGUCAAGCUGGUUUUAGAAAAGGCAGAGGAAGCAGAGAUCAAAUUGCCAACAUCCGCUGGAUCAUGGAAAAAGCAAGAGUUCCAGAAAAACAUCUAUUUCUGCUUUAUUGACUAUGCCAAAGCCUUUGACUGUGUGAAUCACAAUAAGCUGUGGAAAAUUCUGAAAGAGAUGGGAAUACCAGACCACCUAACCUGCCUCUUGAGAAAUCUGUAUGCAGGUCAGGAAGCAACAGUUAGACCUGGACAUGGAACAACAGACUGGUUCCAAAUAGGAAAAGGAGUAUGUCAAGGCUGUAUAUUGUCACCAUGCUUAUUUAACUUACAUGCAGAGUAUAUCACAAGAAACGCUGGACUGGUAGAAACACAAGCUGAAAUCAAGAUUGCUGGGAGAAAUAUCAAUAACCUCAGAUAUGCAGAUGACACCACCCUUAUGGCAGAAAGUGAAGAGGAGCUAAAAAGCCUCUUGAUGAAAGUGAAAGAGGAGAGUGAAAAAGUUGGCUUAAAGCUCAACAUUCAGAAAACGAAGAUCAUGGCAUCCGGUCCCAUCACUUUAUGGGAAACAGAUAGGGAAACAGUAGAAACAAUGUCAGACUUAAUUUUGGGGGACUCCAAAAUCACUGCAGAUGGUGACUGCAGCCAUGAAAUUAAAAGACGCUUACUCCUUGGAAGAAAAGUUAUGACCAACCUAGACAGUAUAUUCAAAAGCAGAGACAUUACUUUGCCGACUAAGGUCCGUCUAGUCAAGGCUAUGGUUUUUCCUGUGGUCAUGUAUGGAUGUGAGAGUUGGACGGUGAAGAAGGCUGAGCGCCGAAGAAUUGAUGCAUUUGAACUGUGGUGUUGGAGAAGACUCUUGAGGGUCCCUUGGACUGCAAGGAGAUCCAACCAGUCCAUUCUGAAGGAGAUCAGCCCUGGGAUAUCUUUGGAAGGAAUGAUGCUAAAGCUGAAGCUCCAGUAUUGUGGACACCUCAUGCGACAAGUUGACUCAUUGGAAAAGACUAUGAUGCUGGGAGAGAUUGGGGGCAGGAGGAGAAGGGGACGACCCAGGAAGAGAUGGAUGGAUGACAUCACGGACUCGAUGGACGCGAGUCUGAGUGAACUCCGGGAAAUGGUGACGGACAGGGAGGCCUGGCAUGCUGCGAUUCAUGGGGUCGUGAAGAGUUGGACACGACUGAGCGACUGA
rnacentral:lncRNA from 1 species